ACUCCGAAUACCAGUAUAAUUUUAAGAGGCGGAGUCAGACUUUGGGCGCUAAGGUCCAUAGUCAAAAGGGAAACAGCCCAGAUCUUCAUCUAAGGUCCCUAAAUUUGAGCUAAGUGCAAGAAAGGAAGUAGGAUUCCAUCGAUAGUUAGGAGGUUAGCUUAGAAGCAGCUACCCUUUAAAAAGUGCGUAACAGCUUACUAACUAAGGGAUUCUGCGCCAAAGAUUCACGGGGCUUAAGCUCAGUACCGAAGAUAAGAUUGUCCCGCUUUUAGCGGGAUGAGGUAGGGGAGCGUUCUUCAUCCAGUGAAGUCAAACCGUGAGGUUUGGUGGAGGGUGGCGAAGUGAGAAUGUUGGCAUGAGUAACCGCAAUGCCGGUGAAAUUCCGGCACACCGAGAGCCUAAGGUUUCCUUGGCAAUGGUAAUCAGCCAAGGGUUAGGCGGGCCUAAGGCGUAGCCGAAAGGCGAGGCUGAUGGACAGCUGGUUAAUAUUCCGGCCCCCGAGCACAUAAUCCAAAGAGGGGACGAAGUUUAGUAGUUUGGGUGAGUUAUUGGAUUCUCAUUGUUUACUUAAGAAUUUUCAAGAGUAGGCAGAAUAUUCUGGUUCGCCAGAAUAAACUCAAAUGAGCAGACUUCCAAGAAAAGCCUUUUAAGGAAUUAAUUAUGUGCUUGGUCCGUACCACAAACCGACACAGGUAGGCUGGUGUAAGAGUACCAAGGUGAACGGGUGAAACCUCGUUAAGGAACUCGGCAAAAAAGCGUCCGUAAGUUCGCGAUAUGGACUGCCGCCCUUUUGGGCGGCCGCAGUGAAAGUUCCCCUGGCGACUGUUUAUCAAAAACACAGGUCCCUGCUAACUCGUAAGAGGAUGUAUAGGGGCUGAGGCCUGACCAGUGCUGGAACGUUAACGAUCCCGGUCGUUUCAUAUCUGGGUUUACUCAUUUGUGGAGCGGCUGAGGGUCCGAAGCGCCAGUAAACGUCCGCGAUAACUAUAAUCGUGUUAAAGUAGCGUAGUCCCUUGCCGGGUAAGUUCCGGCCCGCAUGAAAGGCUUAACGACCUGGGGACUGUCUCAACGAGGAGCCCGGUGAAAAUGCAAUACCGGUAAAGAUGCCGGUUACCUGCGGCUAGACGGAAAGACCCCGGGAGCUUUACUGUAGCUUCUCAUUGUUUUAUUGUUUUGGAUGCGUAGUGUAGCAGGGAGGC
rnacentral:rRNA from 1 species